rnacentral:rRNA from 1 species
CCUACGGGUGGCAGCAGUGGGGAAUAUUGGACAAUGGGGGGAACCCUGAUCCAGCCAUGCCGCGUGUGUGAAGAAGGCCCUCGGGUUGUAAAGCACUUUCAGUGAGGAAGAACGCCUGGUGGUUAAUACCCAUCAGGAAAGACAUCACUCACAGAAGAAGCACCGGCUAACUCCGUGCCAGCAGCCGCGGUAAUACGGAGGGUGCGAGCGUUAAUCGGAAUUACUGGGCGUAAAGCGCGCGUAGGUGGCUUGAUAAGCCGGUUGUGAAAGCCCCGGGCUCAACCUGGGAACGGCAUCCGGAACUGUCAAGCUAGAGUGCAGGAGAGGAAGGUAGAAUUCCCGGUGUAGCGGUGAAAUGCGUAGAGAUCGGGAGGAAUACCAGUGGCGAAGGCGGCCUUCUGGACUGACACCGACACUGAGGUGCGAAAGCGUGGGUAGCAAACAGGAUUAGAUACCCUAGUAGUC